rnacentral:rRNA from 1 species
CCGGUAGCUAAGUGCGGAAAAGAUAAGCGCUGAAAGCAUCUAAGCGCGAAACUUGCCUCAAGAUGAGUCUUCCCUGGGCCUUUAAGGCCCCUGAAGGAACGUUUAAGACUAAGACGUUGAUAGGCUGGGUGUGUAAGUGCAGCGAUGCAUUGAGCUAACCAGUACUAAUGAUCCGUGAGGCUUAACCUUACAACACCGAAGGUGUUU